rnacentral:ncRNA from 1 species
GGCAACUGACAGAAAUGUGAUAACUGCUCUCAUGUACGAAAUUUUUAUGUUGAUUACUGCACCACUUUUUGUGGCUCUGGUAACAAAACUAGUCGAUCAUUGGUUAUCUGAUCAGGUUGGUAAUUAAAGCGGUUGCCUACUAAACGUACUAGCCGUCCAUCCAGUGUACAAGAAA